CGGAAUGUCUCGGCUGCGCCUGCGCAGGAUCUGUCUUCUGUCUUCACCCCCUUCCUCCUCUCAGCGUCCCCGCUCCUUGCGUGGCUGUUCCUUCGCUAGUUCGGUUGUGGUAGCUGCCCCGCACCGUCUGAGAAGAGUCUCUCACCAUGACUCACCACCAUCCUCCCCUGAACAAUGGCCUGUGGGCUCCAUCACUCACUCUUGCUGACACACCGGACUGCAAAGAGCUGAUUCUAACCUCUGAUUGCAUGAAAGUAACUCUGGGAAGGACCUAGAGAGGCCAGGAGGAGAGACACCUUGGGGGACUAAUGAGAGGCUUCCAAGAAGAGGAAAGAGUCAGACUCUGGCCUCUGAACAUCUCAUACCUAUGGUUGUCAACAUGGCUGCCCCUAGAAUCAGAAAGAUUUGUCAACAUCAGGAUUGUUUACUCCUUACCUACUGACUCAGAAUCUUGCAGAGGAUGGGAUGGGCACCUGGACUUUUCGAAAGCUCUCCAUGAAACUCUGAAGCAGCUGGUGCUGGAGGUCCAAGAUCUGAGCCAACCCAGAUCUGCUCCACUGCCUGUAUAGGAGAUGCCCAUUCGAGGGCAGUCCCCACUUCAAAAGGAAAGAAAAGGCCUUCUGAAGCCAGAAUCUCUCAAAACAAUGGGGUCCAGACCUCAGCCAGGUCCUCUGAGGGCAGCGGAUCUCCUGUUUCUAGCUCCUCCAAGCUUGCACGCAUGUGUCACCCUGCACUGCCAGCACCCCCCUCCCCCCCAAGAGGCAUCAUUCCCAGAGCCACAAGUCUAUGGAGAUCCUGACUGGCAAUACCUCUGUCAUCUAGCGGCUGACAGACACAAUACCAGAAACAGUGCACUUAUUAUCACUGGAGAAAAAAAAAAAAUUGAAUGAGAUUUCGAAUAACCACGGAAUGGCUCACACAGUGCUCAGGAAUUCAUUAUCAAAGUUGGCUCCGCUCCUCUCAGACGUGCCUUUGGCACUCUUGGUUCUGAAACUUGCACUCCUAGAUGGAGGCUGGGGCUGCAGAGAGCAGGCACCCGAGAUGACGUGGGGAAGGGAAGGGUUCAGAAGUGGGCUGGGUGGUGGUUGCCUAGGGGAAAAGCACGAUAUCCACUGGAAUUGUUCAGUUACAAUGGCAGAGUCUGUGUGGUUUCAGAAAAAAAAGGAUAUUUCUGAGCAUUGAUGAAAGCACCCAGAGUUAUAGCUAAGGAAUCUUUCUCCAGCUCCCGGUUCUGCUUUCCUCUUCGGGGGCUUCGAUCUUGGCCAGGCCCACCCAAUAUGGCGGCAGAGACAGUCCCUGUGGCUCCAGGUGGAUGGGCUGCCAGCAUAGCCUCUCCAGGAAAGCACUUCUCUUUGUCCUAGAACAUCCAGCAUACGGCUGAGGGUGGGAUCUCAUUGGCAGCUGCGUCUUCUAGACAUUUCGGAGCAAAGCACAGUGGCUGGGCCUGGAGCUGAAAGGAAAGUUCAGCUCCACUCAAACCACAUGAAUUGGCAGGAUGGCAAUGGCUUCUUAAGGGAAACUUAAGGUGCUGUCAUAAAAAGUCGGGGGAGCAGAUGCUGGGAAGGCAUGCAGGAACUCUUCCCAGACACCAUAGCAGGAAUGAAAAGUG